rnacentral:ncRNA from 1 species
GGUGAGUAGAAUGUUCUGGAAAGUUCAACCAUAGAGCAUGAUAGUUGCGUAUACGAAGCCAGUCGAAGCCUAGUGGUAUCCUGAGUAGCGCGGAGCACGAGGAAUUCUGCGUGAAUCAGCCGGGACCAUCCGGUAAGGCUAAAUACUCCCGAGAGACCGAUAGUGAACCAGUACUGUGAAGGAAAGGUGAAAAGCACUUCGAACAGAAGAGUGAAAUAGUUCCUGAAACCAUGCGCCUACAAGCGGUCGGAGCUCU